GAAUGCAUCCCAGUGAUGCGGGGGGAGGAACAUCUUGCACUCAGAAAUAGCCUCAGUGCUUGUUCUCUGUCCUUGCAGUGUGUGACCAGAGGUGGGGGCCAAAGGCUUUGCACUGGGACCAUGAAGGAAGCUUUGUCUCUCCUGCUUUCUUCCUAUAAGGAGAAAUUACCUUGGGUCCUCCGGAAUAAUCCAGAAUAUUCUCCACAUGUCAAGGCCUAUAACCUAAUCACACCAGCAAAGUCCCUGUUGCCAUAUGUGUGCUGAGACCAGCUUGGUUGUGGAGACCCCAACCCAGCGGCACUAGAGGAAUAAAGACACGGACAAAGAAAUAGAGUGCAAAGUGGGAUCAGGGGGCUAAUGGCCUUCAGAGCUGAGAGCCUCGAACAGAGUUUGACCCACCUGUUUAUUGACAGUAAGCCCGUGAUAAACAUUGUUUCUGCAGUUUAUAGAUUAACUAAAAGUAUUCUUUACGGAGAACAAAGGGACAGAUUCUGGCUUGUUAUCUGCAGUAGAGACAUGUCCUUAAGGCACAGAUCGCUCAUGCCAUUGUUGUUUAGGAACGCCUUGAGCGGUUUUCCACCCUGGGUGGGCCAGGUGUUCCUUGCCCUCAUUCCGGUAAACCAGCAAUCUCCAGCAUGAGCGCCAUAGCCAUCACAAUCAUGUCGCAGUGUUUCAGAGAUCUUGUUUAUGGCCAGUCUUGGGGUCUGUUCCCAGCAGAUGUGAUUAAGAUUGUGGACCUUGAUACGGGGAGAUUACCGUGGAUUAUCUGGGCCAGCCUAAUCUGAUUACAUGAGUCCUUAAAAGUGGACAACGUUUCCCUGUUGCAGUGAAACAGUGACGUUAAAGAGAAGGCAGGACUGAUGAGAUGGGACAAAGACUUAACCUGCAGUUGCAGGUUUGAAGAUGAAAGGGAUCGUGAGUCAAGGAGUGUUGGUCUCCAAUUGCUGGGGGCACCCCCCAGCCAACAACCAGCAAAAAAAGUGGAGAGCUCAGCUCUACAACCACAUGGACCUGAAUUAUGUCAACAGUAACAGUGAGCCUGGGAUCUUAUUAUUAAUAUUUCCCAGACCCUUCAAUAAAGGAUCUGGCCUGCCAACACCUUGAUUUUCACCUAAGGAGAUUUAUAUUGAACUUCUGAUCUACAGAACUGUGAGAUAAUAAGUUGGAAUUCCCCUUCCCCCUUGCAUAUCCUUAGUUAAGACAUCUUUCAUCUGCUGAAGGCAAACAAGCCUCACUCAGAGAAGGACUCAGCUAAUUUCUGUCAGGCACCAGCACUUCUAGAAGCUGGGGAAAGAGCCCCUCUGUCCUAGUGAGUGGAAUCCAGGCAACACACCACAGUAUCCGCUACUCUUAUUGACUAAGUUAUAAAACUUACAAUUCUUUGUGUCCUUCAGAUUGUCACAAAGUUGACCAUGAAGUUUUCUCAUUUUGCUGAAUUCAUAAUUUAAAGGAACAUUGGUUGACAAAAAUAGAUAACAACGUUAUAUAAAGCGGAAUGGGAUAGAAGAAAAUUAAGUGCUCCAAGGACAGGUGGGCUAUUUUGCCACUGGAACCUUUCUCUUUGAAACAGAGCAAGAAAAUAACUCUUUAUGUAUGAUCUGAACCAUGGUAACAUGAAGGUUUUCUCUGUUAGAAAUGGCUUUUUUUUUUUUUUUAAAGUCAAGGCUUUUAUGGAAAACAUUGCUUUCAAAGAAAAAAGAGUGGGCCCUUGACUGACG
rnacentral:lncRNA from 1 species